CUAGCCAGUGCUAUCAAUGUUGCCGAUACCGUGUCAGGCCACCGGUAAUUGGUAUAAAUGGAUGCACUCCACAGCCGAAAAGCAGUCGUGAUAAACGAAGCAGUCUGACAUCAUGCCUAAUCCCUGUGAACCGUGCAAAGAUUCGUGCAAGGAAGGAGCUUGCCAGGAUAGCUGUUCGUGUAAGGAGAAGGGCUGCAGUGAUUCCUGCUCCACUUCAGGUGCUUGUUGCUAAUCCGUGUUUCCGAUGGACCGCGCGGAGUACAGGUUCUUCACGCAACAUCGGCGAACUCGCAGGCUGCCGCUGUGGCCGCGUGUCAGUGCCGCCCUCGAGACCUGCUUUCCCAUUGCAUUUUCCGUUGUAUUCUUCAUCACUAUUGUCUUAUUC